rnacentral:rRNA from 1 species
GAUGAACGCUGGCGGCGUGCCUAAUACAUGCCAGUCGAGCGAACGGACGAUAAGCUUGCUUGUUUGAUGUUAGCGGCGCACGGGUGAGUAACACGUGGAUAAUCCACCUAUAAGACUGGUAUAUCCUCGGGAAAGCGGCGCUAACACCGGAUAAUCUCCUGCACCGUAUGGUUCAAUAGAGAAAGACGGUCUUUCGGUCUCUUCUAGAGGCAUCCGCGCUGCAUUAGCGAGUUGGUAAGGUACCGGCUUACCAAGGCAACAGUGCCUAGCCGACCCAAUAGGGGGAAGGGCCACACAGGAGCUGAGACGCGGUCCAGAGUCCUACGGACGGCAGCGGUAGGUAAGGGUCCGCACUGGGCGAAAGCCUGACGGAGGAACGCCGCGUGAGUGAUGAAGGUCUGCGGAUCGUAAAACUCUGUUAUUGGGGAAGAACGUAUUUGUAAGUAACUGUGCGCGUGUUAACGGAACCGAAUCAGAAGGCCACGGCUAACUACGG